GAAGUGCGAUAAGUGUCACGACUUGCAGAUCCCCGAGAGCUGACAAAUUUCUGAAUGCAAAUUGCGGCCAACGUUAGUUGGUCAUGUAUCGCAGAGUGUAGUCGUUCCUACUCAUCAUUCUCCUCUACCAUUCGUGGUAGCUUCGGAGAGAUCUGCGCUUGCGGCUAUAUGGCGGCGAGCGUCAAAAACCAGAGUGGCUUCUGCGAGCUAAACCUCACAGAGGCCAACUUCGGAUUAAUUUGUGAAGAAGUACCAAACUCUGUAUUUAAUUUUCAAUCACACCUCUGCGAUGCAGGAAAACCCGCUGAACUUAA
rnacentral:misc_RNA from 1 species